rnacentral:rRNA from 1 species
UACGUAGGUGGCAAGCGUUGUCCGGAUUUACUGGGCGUAAAGCGCACGUAGGCGGACUAUUAAGUCAGGGGUGAAAUCCCGGGGCUCAACCCCGGAACUGCCUUUGAUACUGGUAGUCUUGAGUUCGAGAGAGGUGAGUGGAAUUCCGAGUGUAGAGGUGAAAUUCGUAGAUAUUCGGAGGAACACCAGUGGCGAAGGCGGCUCACUGGCUCGAUACUGACGCUGAGGUGCGAAAGCGUGGGGAGCAAACAGG